rnacentral:rRNA from 1 species
GUCUUUUUGAGUAUAAUUUAAAGUCUGACCUGCCCAAUGAGGAUUUAAAUGGCCGCGGUAAUUUGACCGUGCAAAGGUAGCAUAAUCAUUAGUUUUUUAAUUGAAAGCUGGUAUGAACGGUUGGACGAGAAGAUGACUGUCUCGAUUUAAUUGCUAAUAGAAUUUUAUUUAUAAGUAAAAAAGCUUAUAUGAAUUUAAAAGACGAGAAGACCCUAUAGAAUUUUAUAGUUAUGUGCUUAUUUGGUGAUUGGAAUAGAAAACUGAUUAGGUGUAGGCUAUUUUGUUGGGGCGAUGGAAAAAUUGAUUUAACUUUUUUUUUGUGGAGUCAUUGAUUUAUGUAUAAGUGAUCCGUUUCUAGCGAUUAUAAGAAAAAAUUACCUUAGGGAUAACAGCGUGAUUUUUUUUAGAGUUCUUAUCGAAAAAAAAGUUUGCGACCUCGAUGUUGGAUUAAAAUUAACUUUUGGUGUAGGGGCUAGAAGGUUAGGUCUGUUCGACCUUUAAAAUUUUACA